GUAUGUGCGCAAUGGUUCUUUAUGCUAUUUGACAGAUGAGAAAAGAUAUAAAGUGAAGCAAUUCUACAUAUUGGAAAGAUGCCGGGUUGUGCAAUAAGAGGAUGCAAAAAUUCCUCUAGCCAAGGUGUCAAAAUGAAU